rnacentral:rRNA from 1 species
UACGUGGGGUGCAAGCGUUGUCCGGAAUUAUUGGGCGUAAAGAGCUCGUAGGCGGUUUGUCGCGUCUGCUGUGAAAACUCGGGGCUUAACUCCGGGCCUGCAGUGGGUACGGGCAGACUAGAGUGCGGUAGGGGAGACUGGAAUUCCUGGUGUAGCGGUGAAAUGCGCAGAUAUCAGGAGGAACACCGGUGGCGAAGGCGGGUCUCUGGGCCGUAACUGACGCUGAGGAGCGAAAGCGUGGGGAGCGAACAGG